rnacentral:rRNA from 1 species
UACGUAGGGUGCGAGCGUUGUCCGGAAUUAUUGGGCGUAAAGAGCUCGUAGGCGGUCUGUCGCGUCGGUCGUGAAAACUUGGGGCUUAACCCUGAGCUUGCGGUCGAUACGGGCAUGACUGGAGUUCGGCAGGGGAGACUGAAUUCCUGGUGUAGCGGUGAAAUGCGCAGAUAUCAGGAGGAACACCGGUGGCGAAGGCGGGUCUCUGGGCCGAUACUGACGCUGAGGAGCGAAAGCGUGGGGAGCGAACAGG